rnacentral:rRNA from 1 species
CAGUCGCCACGGUAAUACGGAGGGUGCAAGCGUUAAUCGGAAUUACUGGGCGUAAAGCGCACGCAGGCGGUUUGUUAAGUCAGAUGUGAAAUCCCCGGGCUCAACCUGGGAACUGCAUUUGAAACUGGCAAGCUAGAGUCUCGUAGAGGGGGGUAGAAUUCCAGGUGUAGCGGUGAAAUGCGUAGAGAUCUGGAGGAAUACCGGUGGCGAAGGCGGCCCCCUGGACGAAGACUGACGCUCAGGUGCGAAAGCGUGGGGAGCAAACAGGAUUAGAUACCCCUGUAGUCCCUGUCUCUUAUAC